rnacentral:lncRNA from 1 species
AUCCUUCAGAUAUGGCAGAUGGCUGAGAACAUAUACCAUGAUGAAGAUGAUUUGCCUGUUGAUGAAUCCACCAAAGGUUCUUAGCGAGCAACAUCCGAGUGAGUGAAGUUCAUGGUUACUCCUUGCUGCAUUAAUUUAGGUUCCCUUGUUGAUCGUUAGUAUUGGCUAAAACCUUGAGCGAGCUGUUCAUGGUAAUUAUGUACGUUUCCGCCCAUUUUGUCACAUGUUAUACUCUUGUAACCAUUUUGUUAACUGAUCCCAAACUUAUGUGAUUUUUUUUGUGACUGAGAGAAACUGGGAGAAACUGCCUUCUAAGAGGAGAGAAAGAUAAUAAAUAUAACAUAGAUGUUUAUAAAUGGGGUGUGACUGGAAUUGAAAUUGGUACUUUCAAUUCGAUGAUUUUUGUUUAUUACCUUAGUCAAACUUAUUUUUUUCACCCAUUUUAUAUUAGGUAGGUUCGGCAAUGAUCAGACUUGGGUAUUUGAUAUUUGUUUUCAAUCGGUAAUAGUCUUGGGUUUGAGUAAUAUUCACUCUAUAUAAUAUUUCGCAUGGUAAAUAUCAUAUUAUAACCAAGUCCGUAGUUUUUUGGUGGUUUCGAUUAUAAUUGUAAUCAGAAAAACUGUAAAAUAUAAAGAAANNNNNNNNNNNNNNNNNNNNNNNNNNNNNNNNNNNNNNNNNNNNNNNNNNNNNNNNNNNNNNNNNNNNNNNNNNNNNNNNNNNNNNNNNNNNNNNNNNNNNNNNNNNNNNNNNNNNNNNNNNNNNAGAGUAAUACAAGAGCAGAAUAACAACGCUCCAUCCUACUCGUUGCCCAGAGCCUUGACUUGAACAUAGGAUAAGUGCUUAAGGUUCUUUCAGGUCAUAAAAUCUAUGUAAAUUACUAAUAGCCUAAUAUUAAAUUAUAUCAUUCAAAAUUUUUAUUAUUUCAUAUGCCACCGNNNNNNNNNNNNNNNNNNNNNNNNNNNNNNNNNNNNNNNNNNNNNNNNNNAUCUCGAUAUAACAGUAUCUUAAUAAAUUAAUCAGGUUAUUUUCUAUUCAGAUACUUCAAUAUCCAUAUUCUACAUAUACCCACAUAACCAUUUUGGGUUUACCCAUACCCUAAAAAUAUUUAAUUAACUUGAAUUUUAUCCUAUUUGACCUGAUGAAAUUCAGCCUGUAUUGAAGCAUAUCCUAAAAAUACUUAAUUAAUUUGAAUGUUAUCCUAUUUGACCUGAUGAAAUUCAGUCUGUAUUGACGAUUAUGAUUGCCAUAAAAAGGUAGUUUUAAUUUUAGGGUUAAUUGAAUUAGUUUUUUUAAUUUGACAAUAGCACCCUUUUUAGUUAUUAUGUUAUAUCUACCAUCAGAUCAUAUAACAUUAAUCUAACGGUCUAUAUUGCAUUUCUCACCUUAGAAAUGCUUAGGUCUCUCACCCUAAGGCCUCCGGCUAUUACCCCCUUCGUCCGGACCGGCCUCACCCAUUCACGCUCCUAAAUGUACCCUCAGCCACUGAACUUCAGUGCCUGCAUCAGCUCGCCCUCGGCGUUUCUUCAUCUCUAGCUAUCACUGCAUUCAUCAUUCACCUUCGAUUCUGAUAAACCACCCAAGAAGCGAAUCCAAAACCCCCCAAAUUCAUUACACCGACUGUUGCAAAAGCGUGGAACACUCAGCCAUCUUCACCACCGCACACGUUGUCCAACACUCCAACCGUUAAAGAAACCCUAACCAUCCCCCUGAUUCCGUAUGAAUUAAGCUUACACAGUGAACACGGGGAAGGGAUAAAUCCCAAAUUGAAGCGGAGGAGUGCUGCAAAUGGGGAAGGACGAUGAGGAGAUGAGAGGGGAGAUGGAGGAAAGGCUUAUCAACGAAGAGUACAAAAUAUGGAAAAAGAACACUCCUUUCCUCUACGACCUCGUCAUUACCCACGCCCUCGAAUGGCCUUCCCUUUCCGUCGAAUGGUUGCCGGAUCGCGACGAGCCUCCGGGCAAAGACUACUCCGUCCAGAAGAUGAUCCUCGGCACCCACACCUCCGAAAACGAGCCUAAUUACCUCAUGCUCGCUCAGGUUCAGCUUCCCUCAGAAGACGCCGAGAAUGACUCCCGAAAUUACGACGACGACCUCUCUAAUUCGGGUGGCUUUGGUUCUGCCAGCGGCAAGGUCAGUCAAUGCUUCAGUUUUUCAUCCCCCCCAGUCUACGUCUUUGACUACAGCAAGCACCCUUCUAAACCUCCAUUGGACGGAGCUUGCAGUCCAGAUUUGAGGUUGAGUGGACACAACACUGAAGGUUACGGUCUUUCCUGGAGCACGUUCAAGCAAGGCCAUUUACUCAGCGGUUCCGACGAUGCACAGAUUUGCUUGUGGGAUAUCAAUGCUACUCCUAAGAAUAAGACUCUUGACGCCACCCAGAUUUUCAAGGUCUUCAUUUUGAAUGCCUCACUGAUGUAAUCUCGUUAUAUGUCUCGUUAUAUGUUAUGUAACUGUUGAUUGAAUCUCUUUUAACUUUUGGUUUUGAACUUCAAUUUGAUGUUCUUUUUUUGAUGUGUUGUUUUGCUGAAUAGGUUCAUGAAGGAGUUGUGGAAGAUGUAGCGUGGCAUCUGAGGCAUGAGUACUUAUUUGGUUCUGUGGGGGAUGAUCAGUACCUACUUAUAUGGGAUAUUCGCAGCCCAGCUGUAACUAAACCUGUCCAGUCUGUUGUUGCUCAUCAAAGUGAGGUAUGGCUCCAUGGUGUUUGAUUUUCUUCAAUCUUCCAUUUCCUUAUUUGCUCAUGGAAGGGUUGGUUGUCUGUUGGAUGUGAAGACGCUAAUUUUUUGAACAUACAUGCUUCAGCUGACAUAUUUUUGAAAAAUUCUAAACUACAUAUAGUUGAUAGCUCAUUAGCUCUCAUAUCAUAUGCACUUCCUAUUCUAUAUCCAAAUUAAUCUGUUUUUUUCUUCAAUUUUCUAAUAGGUGAACUGUUUGGCCUUCAAUCCUUUCAAUGAAUGGGUUGUGGCAACUGGAUCAACUGAUAAGACUGUCAAAUUGUUUGACUUACGCAAGAUCAGUACUGCACUGCACACAUUGGAUUGUCACAAGUAUGCUCCUAUUAAUGCUGUAUCAUUUAAUUAAAGAUUUGCUUGGUCUCUUAUGCGUGCCUGAUUGGUAGAUCCAAUUGCUUGCGUGUGCAGCAUAUGAUGCUCUGAGAUGGUUUCUUUAGUGUUUUACACCCUCUUUAUGCUUAUGACAGAGAAGAAGUCUUCCAAGUUGGCUGGAAUCCAAAGAAUGAGACCAUCCUAGCUUCUUGUUGCCUUGGAAGGAGGCUCAUGGUUUGGGAUCUUAGCAGGUUGGUGCAUUCCCUUAAUUAUCCAUAACAUCUUUAUUUGGUUUUCUUGGUUGAUUGCCUUGUAGGUUUCUGUUGAUGAGUGAUGACAUGAAUUUUUCAGUAACUUUCCCACUUAGUUAUUCAUAAACAUAAAACUUGCACAUAGUUUAGAGACAAAAGGAGAAGUUAAAGGUUCUGUAGGUUUAAGAAAAUAGACAGAAUGAAAAAUAAAGUAUAAUAGAGCAGUUCGAUCAUGUAUUCUUCACUCUUAUAGUUCCCAAAGUGAUUCAUGCAACCCUAACUUGGAAUACUGGCUGCAUCAACUAGACCUGAAGGAGGCAGAAACUUGCUUUACACCUUUCUUUCAUGCAAAUUGUACGUGUUCAACUUUUAUUUUUGGUUCCGAGUUUGUAAUUAUAAAUUAUCAAGAACAUAACUUUAUUAGAUUGACCAAAACAUUAGCUAUAUCAGUGUGCCAAAGGUUUGUACUGCCUAUACAAAUGAAAUCAUGCAUGGUGCUUAUUCUUGAAAGAAGAUAACUGAUCUAACUUAGAGAUGGCAAGGCUAAAGGCUCUUUCUGUCUUUGUAAAUGUCUUGAGAAUGACUUUUUCCCUUUGUCUCGAACACAAAAGUCAUGGAUUGCUUACGUUUCAAUGCAUAUUAUUGCCUGAACAAUCGUUUUUUACUUUCAACCCCACACCCUUUUGACUAUGAGCAUUGCUUUUCAGUUACACCUGUUGGAAGUUCAAGAGUUGUUUAACUAGUUUCCAUUGUAGCCUACAAAUUUUUUAUGAUGACACGAGCUUAAUGAUCGCACAAAUAAAUCAUCCCUUGGUAGCCAUUUCUGUCGUCCAUCGAAAUUAACAGUAUUAAGUAAAAAUUGUGACCCGGACUCUUCUUGUGAUUGUGAUUAACACCUUAUAUGAGAUGAUGAAAAUGAUGUGGGUUUGGGCCGUUGUCUUCGCAGGAUUGAUGAGCAGCAAACUCCGGAGGAUGCGGAAGAUGGUCCGCCGGAGUUGCUCUUUAUUCAUGGUGGUCACACAAGUAAAAUAUCGGAUUUUUCGUGGAAUCCAUGUGAAGACUGGGUUGUGGCGAGUGUGGCCGAAGAUAACAUCCUUCAGAUAUGGCAGAUGGCUGAGAACAUAUACCAUGAUGAAGAUGACUUACCUGUUGAUGAAUCCACCAAAGGUUCUUAGCACAUCAGAGUGAGUGAAGUACAUGGUUGGACAUGAUCAUCAUUCUCCUUCCUGCAUUAAUUUAUAGGUCACUCCUUGACAAUCCCCUUGCUGAUCACUAGUAUUCGUUAAAAACCUUGAGCGACCUGUUCAUGGUAAUUAUGUACGUUUCCACAUCGUCUUUUGGAUUCGUUCUCGGUUAUAGCAUAAAUUGUACAUUGAUUUUCCAUCAAAAUACUCGAGUGAAGCAGUCUGUUAGUAUUUACUAGACGACGUGGACGGAAAAGAUGGAUGUGGAUGGAAUUGUCGGUCUGUUUGUUAUCUUGUACUAUGUAUAUGGCCAUUUUGUCACAUCUUAAACGUUUGUAACCAUUUUGUUAACUGAUCCCAAACUUUUAUGAUCAUUUUGUCUGUUUCCGUUUACCUAUUUUUUCAC